CCUACGGGUGGCUGCAGUGGGGAAUAUUGCACAAUGGGCGAAAGCCUGAUGCAGCAACGCCGCGUGAGGGAAGACGGUUUUCCGGUUUUUAACUUCUUUUUUUAGUGAAGAAUAGUGACUGUAACUAAGGACCAAGCCACUGCUAACUACGUGCCCGCAGCCGCGGUACUAAGGAGGUGGCACGCGUUGUCCGGAAUUACUGGGUGUAAAGGGAUCGUAGGCGGGAAGCCAAUUCAGCUGUGAAAACUACGGGCUUAACCUGUAGACUGCAGUUGAAACUGGCUUUCUUGAGUGAAGUAGAGGUUGGCGGAAUUCCGGGUGUAGCGGUGAAAUGCGUAGAUAUUCGGCAGAACACCGGUGGCGAAGGCAGCCAACUGGGCCUUAACUGACGCUGAUGCUCGAAAGUGUGGGGAGCAAACAGGAUUAGAUACCCGAGUAGUC
rnacentral:rRNA from 1 species